rnacentral:misc_RNA from 1 species
UGGAGAAAUAAGCUCCUUUGGGCUUCCCGUGUGCUACCAAUGCCACUUGUUGGCCUUCUCAUUAUAGGAAGUGUCUGUGCGCCUACAGAAAAUCAGACUACAGAGUACCCAGAGUUGGAAGCACUGUCCAGGCUUGACAUUGGAAGUGCAUUAAAAAUCUUCUUGGCAAAACGUUUAACUUCAGAGUUCACAGAGAUAACCACAGCUGUAGAGGAGAAAUCCGUUAUCA